rnacentral:rRNA from 1 species
UACGAAGGGGGGCUAGCGUUGUUCGGAAUUACUGGGCGUAAAGCGCACGUAGGCGGAUUGUUAAGUCAGAGGUGAAAUCCCGGAGCUCAACCUCGGAACUGCCUUUGAUACUGGCAAUCUAGAGUCCGGAAGAGGUUGGUGGAAUUCCCAGUGUAGAGGUGAAAUUCGUAGAUAUUGGGAAGAACACCAGUGGCGAAGGCGGCUAACUGGUCCGGUACUGACGCUGAGGUGCGAAAGCGUGGGGAGCAAACAGG